AGCAGCCGCGGUAAUUCCAGCUCCAAUAGCGUAUAUUAAAGUUGUUGCAGUUAAAAAGCUCGUAGUUGAAUUUCGAGACCGGCUUACUGGUCGUGCUAUUGUACGUACUGGUAUAAUCGGUUUCUCCUUUCUGACGAACUAUAAUGCCAUUAAUUUGGUGUUUUAGGGAAUCAGGACUGUUACUUUGAAAAAAUUAGAGUGUUUAAAGCAGGCUCACGCUUGAAUACAUUAGCAUGGAAUAACGGAAUAGGACGUUUGAUUCUAUUUUGUUGGUUUCUAGGAUCGACGUAAUGAUUAAUAGGGAUAGUUGGGGGCAUUAGUAUUCAAUUGUCAGAGGUGAAAUUCUUGGAUUUAUUGAAGACUAACUACUGCGAAAGCAUUUGCCAAGGAUGUUUUCAUUAAUCAAGAACGAAAGUUAGGGGAUCGAAGACGAUCAGAUACCGUCGUAGUCUUAACCAUAAACUAUGCCGACUAGGGAUCGGAUGAUGUUAAUUUUUAUGACUCAUUCGGCGCCUUACGG
rnacentral:rRNA from 1 species